rnacentral:lncRNA from 10 species
CUUGACUGGGGCUGGAGAACCUCCUCUCAAGGCAACUCCCACACAAGCCUAGGAAGUUCAUUCUGGCUGUUGGCAAGGGGCUUCUGUUCCUUGCCAUGUGGACUGCUUGCCAUAGGCUGCUUGAGUGGCCUCAUCACAGACAUGGUGGUUGGCUUUCCCCAGAGUUUAUAUUCAUUUCCCUAUGCUGUCUGAAAGAAGAUACCAUGAUCUAAUUGCCUAAGAAUUUAUUUCCAAAUAGUUGUUGACAGAGCCUGGAAGUCUCAGAAAGAUCAGAUGGAUCGUAUUCCUUCCUUUACUCAAGAGUUUUUUUUUUUUUUUAAUUAAAACAAAAAACAAAAAACCCAGCAACAACUAUGAUCCCUAAAGAACUUUCCUUUGUGGCACCUGGAGUAUUCAGUCAAUCAACAAGCUUUUCCUGGACAUAUGAUGGAGAUGAGAUGUUCUCUAGGACUCAUAUUGGAAGCUAAACAGAAAACAGAUGCAGAUACAUACAAUAAUCACAAAAGUGGGAUUGAGAAAGAGAGAGAGGAAUGGGGCUGAGGCUACAUCUAGGCAGCUGUGUGCAAUGAGGUGGAUUUAUUAAGGAAAAUGUUCCAGAAAAGAUGAACUUAAAGCUAUUCUAAAUAUUUGGGGGAAACUUGAGCAAAAGUUUGGAGAGAAAAGAAUGAAGACUGAAUUUUUAGGUCAUCAAAGAGAUGAACAAGGGGUGGGCUGGAAUAUAGUAGGAGAUGAGGCUGGAAGGGGAGGGUGGAGACGGUGAUUAAGAUGGUUUUGAACAAACUGAUCUGCAAAGAGUUCGGUGUGGUUGGAGCAAUUAUAGGUUGGUGCAAAAGUAAUUGUGGUUUUUGCAAUUAAAAGUAAUGGCAAAACCGCAAUUACUUUUGCUCCAACCUAAUAUUUUGCGAGAGGAAAAAUUUUUUUCAGUAUACUGUCUCCCAAACCAAACCAAACCAAAACAAACAAACAAACAAAAAAGCCCAAACCAAAAAAAUCUUUGCUUAUUAAUAGAGACUCUUAGAAAGCCAGACCUUUAUAGGAAGAUGUGGGUUUAAGAUCUUUCACCACCUUCUUGAGCAACAUCCUGUCACCAUCAAGACUGAAGGUCAACCAACUGCCCAUGGAGGAAAGGCUUGAGAAAGCUUUUGCUGUGCCAAAAGGGGGAACUAUUUCUCCUGGAACAGAGUGGACAAAUGUGCAGCAGGUGAACAGAAUCAUAUUUGCUUUCCAGCUGUUGCACCAGCUGUGUCAUGCUGACAGUGGCCUCCACCUGUCUAACUCCUGCUUCCACCAAUUCAGAACCAAGAUAUUUUUAUACUCAUAUCCUGGUAUAAACCAACUGCUGAUGGAAGUUCUUUGAUGCUGAAUUUGGAAUCAAAUACAUUCUACUUUCUGGAAAUCCAUAUACUGGGUGGCUGCUUCAAUAGCAGCGGACACAAGAUGUAAAAUGCAGCAAUGGUCAAGGAAUUUCUCAGGGGAGGAAUCAAUCCUCUCAUUUUGGUGGAGGAACCUUGGAUACAGGGAGGAUGAGGGACUGACUCAAAGUCAUCUGGCAACUUAGAGACGAGGCCAGAGCUCCUCAAAUCUCCUAGCUCUGAAUCCAUGUUCUUUUUAUUGAGCGGGUCAUGACGUAACCCCCCAGAUGAGUGCAGCUUUUAAUCUCCCACAUCAAGGAGCCUGCUGGCUGCAGACUCAUGCAUACACAUCACGGUGGUUUCUGGGUGGUUGAUGCUCAUCACCCUCUGACUUCAUUUAUUUUUUCCUUUGCAAAAUGGCUAUUGCCCAGAGGCAGCAUCUCUUUUCUAAAAAGUGAACAUGCCAGAAGGGUUUUUGGAAACUGCCUUGCUAUCUGUAGGAGCCAGAUGAUUCACAGGGAUGAACCAAUGUACAUAACAAGGAUACCUGAUUGGAUUACCAAUUAGCCGUCUCCACCUCUGCAGGGUGGUUGGAAAGAAGAGAAAAGGCAGUGUUUAGUUUGGGCAAAUACCAAAAGGACUUUAUCAUUCUCAUCAAGGCAUCAGCGUGGCACAUUAGACCUCUUCCAAGCCAUUCCACUGGAACUUCUCUCUCCAAAUGCUCCAGCAAGAGUAAACUUGUUAUGCAAACAUUGGAUCAUUGUCUCUGAGCUACAGAAGCACCUCUGUGUCGGUGAAAGGGGAGAAACUGGCUGACUUGCGUCUGUUUUUAAUGAUGUCGCUGCUGCUGGGAAAAUUUGGAAGCUGCAGAGCCAAGAACAUCAGAGGUGGGAUGAUGAUGCUUGUGGCUAUGAGACAGGAUUUCAAGGAUCCUGAUGAAACGUCUGCUGGCCUGAAUCUGUCUGAAUGCUGAAAAGGACUUUGUGUUACUCUAACUGAAAGGAAAACAUAAAAUGAUGAUAAUGUAGCCCUUUAUGGUUUUCAGAUCCCUUUCACAUACAUUAUCUCAUUUAAGCUUUGUGACAAUGGUGUGCAGCAGAUAGGGCUAAGAGUACAGUCAAUCUCAUUUUAGAGAUGAAGAAAUAGAGUUCUGAGAGUUUCAUACCUUCCCCGGGUCCAAGAAAUUAUUCCCAAAGCUGCAACUGGGUUUCUAGACAUGCUACCAGCACCUUCCCCAAACCCAAGGGAGCGUUCUGCCUACCUGCUGCCUUCCAUAUGCCAGGAUGGCUUCUUUGAGGUCUUGAAGUGUGUGCAGUUCAAGAUCCAGCUUCCUCCAGGGACCUCUGGGGCAGUAGGGGCCUUUUCUCCUCUCUUUGGGUGUCCAUGCCGAAAUGGCAAAACCUUCUGAGUACAGGAUCAGGGCACCCUUUCUAGUACUGAAAGUUUUAGGGAGAAAGAGGCUCCAGGAGUGCUGACUGGCAUUGUUCUUAUCUUGAGGUUUGCUGACAGGAACAUAGUCUUCUGGGGACCUCCAGUUCAAGUAAUCCUGCAAUGAGAAGCAGCCACUUUGACGGAGCCACUGUGGAAGACCUUUCUAUAGCAAAUACUGCUUGUGCAAAGCCUUCGGCAUUUUUUUAGUUACUGAUUUUCUCUGAACUGUUCACAUGGUGUUAUGGAACACAAUUGCUCUUCUUAGCAACUGCCUUUUCUCUCCACAUUUCAAAAUUAGUAGAACCCAGGGCAUGGUUCUAUUUCACCCCAUACAACUUUCAGGAGAGUCAUGUAUGGCUGGAGGAUUAACUCAGCUUGUAUGUAGGUUACAGGCCAGUUAAAGUUUCCUGGUAUGCAAGUAAGUGGUCAGAAUUAUUAAGGGCAGCAGAUAACUUUGAAAUUAGACCUGGACUAGCUGGCAGUUUAAAUAGGAGCAUUCCAAGCCACCACCACUUCAGCUGUACGUGGGGAGAAUUUCUAUACAUUCCAGAUGCUAUGUAACAUUACCUAAUUUGGCUAUUUAGGGGCCUAUAAAGCAGUUACAUAUCUUGUAGGUAAGAAAAUGCCAUUGGCCAUACAGGUCCUUUGAAACUUUAUAUGCCGUUUAACACAGCAAAGGUCAAAUAUCAUGACAAAGUACCAUGACAAUGGAAAUCUCUGUAUGACCCCCAAAUUUGCAAAGUAUCCCCAAUAGGUUUCUUAUCCCUGGCAGGAUUCAAGUGAAAUAAAAAUCUAGUAUAACAAGGGAAUUUUGCCACCUCUUUAAAAUCUUCUAAAAUGAGGUGGGUUUUUUUUUGGCCUAUAUUAAAUAUGAGUCCUGUGGGUUGAAUUCCAGAAAGUUCAAGGAAGCCAUUGAAAUGGCAUGAACACACACAGCAUUUCAACUGCAGAGCACGACUUCCAAAAACCAAACAACCAUCAGUUUGCCUAGAACCCAGGUGGAAAUUCUGGUCUUGCACCAAACCAUCCAAAUUCCAGACAAUCUGGAAUCUCCUUUGGUCCAAGCAAAGACAGCUACAAGGGGAAAGAUGAGGGCCUCAGGGGCAAUCUCGGUGUGUCAGGAAAAUGAUGUUAUUUUCUUGAGUUUCAUGAAGGAGGAAGGAAGAUCUUCCAGUGACCCCGCCACCUCACUAACAACACAAACCAAGACACACAUGGUUUACCUCCCAAGUGGAAACAUAGAGCAUUCCUCUCCCACCUCCAAAAUGUGCCUUUCUUCAGCUGUGGGACUCACCUCUGGUUCAAAGUAGACUUCUAACUUCUGUUUGUCCUGGCCCAGCUUCCCGUGGCCCCGGCUCAGGAGGGAGAGCGUGAACAUGUUUCCCUCUGAC